GCGGGUAUGAGCAGCCAGGAUAUUGAUAGGGGCAGUCAAGAAAAGAAUUCUACUGAAAUAAGGAUGAUGAAUUCCCAUGGACAGCUAGCAAAUUAUCUGAUGUGGGAAGCAGGUUCAGGAUUUCUGAACGAUGGAUGAUCCUGAUUGACAUUUCAUGUGACAGUUCUCAAUCUCUUCGUGAUUGGGAAAGUGGCACUUAUAACCACCAUCUACUGAUACAAACUUUUGAGACCCACCCUUCGUAAGAAAAAAAAUGCAGAAGAAAGACAAAUUGGAUUUCAUUUCAAGAAAAUUGAAAAUAAAAUUCUUCAUACUGGUG
rnacentral:lncRNA from 10 species